rnacentral:rRNA from 1 species
AUUGAACGCUGGCGGCAGGCUUAACACAUGCAAGUCGAGCGGAUGAGUGGAGCUUGCUCCAUGAUUCAGCGGCGGACGGGUGAGUAAUGCCUAGGAAUCUGCCUGGUAGUGGGGGACAACGUUUCGAAGGGAACGCUAAUACCGCAUACGUCCUACGGGAGAAAGUGGGGGAUCUUCGGACCUCACGCUAUCAGAUGAGCCUAGGUCGGAUUAGCUAGUUGGUGAGGUAAAGGCUCACCAAGGCGACGAUCCGUAACUGGUCUGAGAGGAUGAUCAGUCACACUGGAACUGAGACACGGUCCAGACUCCUACGGGAGUCAGCAGUGGGGAAUAUUGGACAAUGGGCGAAAGCCUGAUCCAGCCAUGCCGCGUGUGUGAAGAAGGUCUUCGGAUUGUAAAGCACUUUAAGUUGGGAGGAAGGGCAGUAAGUUAAUACCUUGCUGUUUUGACGUUACCAACAGGAUAAGCACCGGCUAACUUCGUGCCAGCAGCCGCCGUAAAAC